rnacentral:rRNA from 1 species
GGAAUUGUUCACAAUGGGCGCAAGCCUGAUGACGCAACGCCGCGUGGAGGAUGAAGGUCUUCGGAUUGUAAACUCCUGUUGCCCGGGACGAACGGCCCCAACCUAAUACGUUGGAGAGUGACGGUACCGGGUGAGGAAGCCCCGGCUAACUCCGUGCCAGCAGCCGCGGUAAUACGGAGGGGGCAAGCGUUGUUCGGAAUUACUGGGCGUAAAGGGCUCGUAGGCGGCCAACUAAGUCGGAUGUGAAAUCCCCAGGCUCAACCUGGGAACUGCAUCCGAUACUGGAUGGCUUGAAUCCGGGAGAGGGAUGCAGAAUUCCAGGUGUAGCGGUGAAAUGCGUAGAUAUCUGGAGGAAUACCGGUGGCGAAGGCGGCAUCCUGGACCGGCAUUGACGCUGAGGAGCGAAAGCCAGGGGAGCAAA